GGGUUGUGAGGUUAAGCGACUAAGCGUACACGGUGGAUGCCCUGGCAGUCAGAGGCGAUGAAGGGCGUGCUAAUCUGCGAUAAGCGCCGGUAAGGUGAUAUGAACCGUUAUAACCGGCGAUACCCGAAUGGGGAAACCCAGUGUGAUUCGUCACACUAUCAUUAACUGAAUCCAUAGGUUAAUGAGGCGAACCGGGGGAACUGAAACAUCUAAGUACCCCGAGGAAAAGAAAUCAACCGAGAUUCCCCCAGUAGCGGCGAGCGAACGGGGAGGAGCCCAGAGCCUGAAUCAGCAUGUGUGUUAGUGGAAGCGUCUGGAAAGGCGCGCGAUACAGGGUGACAGCCCCGUACACAAAAGCGCAUGUGCUGUGAGCUCGAUGAGUAGGGCGGGACACGUGGUAUCCUGUCUGAAUAUGGGGGGACCAUCCUCCAAGGCUAAAUACUCCUGACUGACCGAUAGUGAACCAGUACCGUGAGGGAAAGGCGAAAAGAACCCCGGCGAGGGGAGUGAAAAAGAACCUGAAACCGUGUACGUACAAGCAGUGGGAGCACCC
rnacentral:rRNA from 2 species